GACGAACGCUGGCGGCGUGCUUAACACAUGCAAGUCGAACGGUGAAGCGCCUUGCUUUUUGGUGGGUGUGGAUGAGUGGCGAACGGGUGAGUAACACGUGGGUAACCUGCCCCCUUCUUCUGGAUAACCGCAUGAAAGUGUGGCUAAUACGGGAUAUUCUGGGUCUGUCGCAUGAUGGGUCUGGGAAAGAUAUUGUUUCGGUGGGGGGUGGGCUCGCGGCCUAUCAGCUUGUUGGUGGGGUGAUGGCCUACCAAGGCGGUGACGGGUAGCCGGCCUGAGAGGGUGGACGGUCACACUGGGACUGAGACACGGCCCAGACUCCUACGGGAGGCAGCAGUGGGGAAUAUUGCACAAUGGGCGCAAGCCUGAUGCAGCGACGCCGCGUGAGGGAUGGAGGCCUUCGGGUUGUGAACCUCUUUCGCCAGUGAAGCAGGCCUGCCUCGUUUGUGGGUGGGUUGACGGUAGCUGGAUAAGAAGCGCCGGCUAACUACGUG
rnacentral:rRNA from 1 species